rnacentral:tRNA from 1 species
GGAAGGGUGGCCGAGUGGUUUAAGGCGGCGGUCUUGAAAACCGCUUCUCCCGCAAGGGAGACGGGGGUUCGAAUCCCUCCCCUUCCGCCA